UACGGAGGGGGCUAGCGUUGUUCGGAAUUACUGGGCGUAAAGCGCACGUAGGCGGCUUUGUAAGUUAGAGGUGAAAGCCCGGGGCUCAACUCCGGAAUUGCCUUUAAGACUGCAUCGCUAGAACGUCGGAGAGGUAAGUGGAAUUCCGAGUGUAGAGGUGAAAUUCGUAGAUAUUCGGAAGAACACUAGUGGCGAAGGCGACUUACUGGACGACCGUUGACGCUGAGGUGCGAAAGCGUGGGGAGCAAACAGG
rnacentral:rRNA from 1 species